AUGGCGCUCUGCUGCUUACUAACUGCACAUGAUGUCAUGUGUUCGGUCCGGCCGUCUAACCUGCUGGGAUUAGAUAAGAGGCGCUGGAUAUUCUCCACAGGCACGUUUAUGAAAUGAUAAAGCCCCGGCUGGUGCGGAAUUCAUCAAGCUAUCACACGAUACAAGUGUGCUGUCAAGCCAUCAGUUGUGUGUUGUACUGUAUUUACUAUAUACCUGUUUACGUGUCCUGUUUUUAGGCGUAUGAGUGACGUUUUAAAGGAUGGUUGUGAGCUGCAGGACAUGGAGCAGGUGACAGGUAGCGGGAGGAGAGUGGAGGACGAGCACACACUGAUCAGAGCGCGCCGGAGUACUGCAGCUCAGCCCGAGGACGGCUCCUCGAAGUUUGUCUACGUCCUCUCCUUCUUCUCCGCUCUGGGUGGCUUCUUAUUCGGCUAUGACACCGGGGUGGUAUCCGGGGCCAUGCUUUUGCUCAAGAAAGAGCUGCACCUGAGCGCGUUUUGGCAGGAGCUGCUGGUUUCCAGCACUGUGGGUGCGGCGGCGCUCUCAUCACUAGCUGGCGGAUACCUGAACGGUCUGUGCGGCCGCCGGAAGUGCAUCAUGCUGGCCAGCUUCAUUUUUACAGUAGGGGGGAUCAUUUUGAGCUUGGCACCUGAUAAAGUGGUUCUUCUUAUUGGCAGGCUUACUGUUGGUCUUGGUAUAGGAAUAGCAUCUAUGACUGUGCCGGUCUACAUAGCUGAAGUGUCUCCUCCUCAGCUCCGGGGUCAGCUGGUCACCAUAAACACCCUGUUCAUCACAGGAGGCCAGUUCAUAGCCAGUGUGGUGGACGGAGCCUUCAGUUAUAUGGACCACAAUGGCUGGAGGUAUAUGCUGGGUCUGUCAGUAGUUCCUGCUGUGCUGCAGUUUUUGGGUUUCUUCUUCUUCUUGCCUGAGAGUCCUCGCUGGCUCUUUCAGAAAGGCGAUUCUCAGCAGGCCCGAGAGGUGCUUAUACAGAUUCGGGCCACAGAUAAUGUGAACGAAGAGUAUGAUAGUAUCAAGGACAUUAUUGAAGAGGAGGAAAAGAAUGCAGAAGGGGGUCCAGUUCUGUUUCGUAUGCUGGCCUCUGCUCCUGCCCGGAGAGCUCUUAUUGUGGGAUGUGGCCUUCAGAUGUUCCAGCAGCUUUCUGGAAUUAACACUGUAAUGUAUUAUAGUGCCACAAUUUUGCAGAUGUCAGGAGUACGGGACGAUAAGACCGCCAUCUGGCUUUCUGCUGCCACCGCAUUUACCAAUUUCCUGUUUACACUGGUGGGCGUUUGGCUGGUGGAGAGGGUGGGCCGCAGAAAGCUGACUCUGGGCAGCAUUAUUGGUACUGGUGUCAGUCUCUCUGUAUUGGCUGUAGGGUUCCUACUUUCUGCUCAAGCUUCUCCUCCGGUGACCUUUCACCCUAGUGACCCCACUUCUCUUAACACAACCUGCACACACUAUGGAUUUUGUGAACAGUGUAUGCUGGACCCAAACUGUGGCUUUUGUUACUAUGAGAACGGCUCAAGCAUAUCAGACUCUUCCUGUAAGCCAGCUGAUCCUGCCAGCACGGAGCGGGCAGCAAGCGGCAGGUGCUCCAAUGUUACAGAAGAAAACCCAAAUGUAUUGUGGGCGUUUAACUACUGCCCAACCUCUUAUUCCUGGGUAGUAUUGCUGGGGCUCAUCCUUUACCUGGCCUUCUUUGCUCCAGGAAUGGGACCCAUGCCAUGGACAGUAAAUUCUGAGAUUUAUCCGCUGUGGGCUCGGAGCACAGGCAAUGCCUGCUCUGCUGGCGUCAACUGGAUCUUCAAUGUCCUUGUCUCUCUGACAUUCCUCCAUGUGGCUCAGUUCCUCACAUACUAUGGUGCAUUUUUUCUGUACACUGGCCUGGCUGUGCUUGGCUUCCUCUUCGUGCUGGGCUGUCUGCCAGAGACCAAGGGUCUUAUGUUGGAGGACAUAGAGACUCUGUUUAGCAGGAGGCUCUGCACCUGUGGCGGACUGGAUGGCAAACAUGCACAUUACGUUAGGGUAAAAGGCGGCAACCUUCUCUCAGAUGAAGACAUCUCUGAUAGGGAGUAGCUUCAUGGGCACUUUCUUCCAAUCUUUUCUGCGUCUGCAGGUGUUUUCCCAAUCUCUGUAGAAUGUUGGUCUACAUUGCAUUCCAGAAAAUCAUAAUAGUUGUUGACUAAGAACUUGGGUCAAUCUUUCUUUGCAACCCAUAAGGUUGUAGAUCUGUUCUCAUUUGCAUUUCAUUGAGCUGUUAAGAGUCUUGAACAGUACUGUAUUUUCUGGUUAUGGAAUAGAACAAGUUUUUUUAUUUUUGUUUUAUGAGACAUAAAUUAGCUGCUGGGUUUCUCUGCUCUGGUGACUGUUGAAAAUAAGGGGGCUUGGGUUAAAAUCUGGUACCAAUAGUGAUGCAUUUAAGCUACAUAAAAUGUUCAAUAUUGCAUUUUUGUCAACUGACUCUUGGCAGUUUUUAAUGUUGUAGCCUCACUUGGAAUUGGGAAAGUUGAAUUAUGGGACACUGGAACCAGAGGAAGGAAUUGCUUACAUAUCACUGCAAUAAUGAUGCAGUUAUUCCUGGAUUUGCCUUUGAAGAACAAUCAACAAUGCAUACAUAUUAACAAAGAGUCAGAAUAAGUCUUGGUGUAGUCUAUUUGAUACAAAAAUUUCUGUCACUGCAUUUAACAUAAAGAAAACUUAUGGUUUUGGGGUUUAGAAUCAUGCUCUUCAAAUGUUUGCAAGCCUGACAACGGUAUAUAAACUAUUAUAUAGUGAUUAAGAUGGUACAAAUCAUAAAAUGGAUUAUUAAAGUAUGAUUUCAUUAUAAUAAUUAUUAUUUAUUCUAUGAUAUUACAUCAGUGGUGCUCAAACCUGAACCUGGAAGUGGGUGUGGUGGAGCAGGGAAAACACUAAAAUAUGCUGCGGUAGAAUCUGUUUCCAAUGUAGACAAAGAAAAAGUUACAUAUACUGUAGCUCAGCAAUAGCAAAAACAAUGUUAGUCGGCUGUAUAUGGUGUAUUUUAUAUUAUUUUCUUAUUCAACUUUGCAUAGACAAAAAAUUGUUCCUCUUUUCAUAUCGAAUAAAAUUUGUGAA